rnacentral:rRNA from 1 species
UCUAGCAUUACUANUAUUAGAGGCACUGCUGCCCAGUGACAUAUGUUUAACGGCCGCGGUACCCUGACCGUGCAAAGGUAGCAUAAUCACUUGUUCUUUAAAUAGGGACUUGUAUGAAUGGCAACACGAGGGUUCAACUGUCUCUUACUUUAACCAGUGAAAUUGACCUGCCCGUGAAGAGGCGGGNAUAAAACAAUAAGACGAGAAGACCCUAUGGAGCUUUAAUUUACUAAUGCAACCAUAAUCAACACAAAUCCAAGGACCUAAUAUAUCUUGCCCCUGCAUUAGAAAUUUUGGUUGGGGUGACCUCGGAGCAUAAAUAAACCUCCGAACAAACUAUGCUAAGACUAUACAAGUCAAAGCGACCUAAUACCCAUAAUUGAUCCAAUAACUUGACCAACGGAACAAGUUACCCUAGGGAUAACAGCGCAAUCCUAUUCCAGAGUCCAUAUCGACAAUAGGGUUUACGACCUCGAUGUUGGAUCAGGACAUCCUAAUGGUGCAGCAGCUAUCAAGGGUUCGUUUGUUC